GCUAUCCCGAUCAUUAAAAAUGAUUGAAGAUGAUUCGGAGUUUAAAAAUUCUAAGUACGAAUUACUUUGAAUUAAUUCCGAUUUAUAAAAAUUAAAGUUCCCGUGACUAUUUCGAAAGUUGAAUUAACAGAUCUUACGAGAGUUGAUCUAGAAAAAUUCUAAGCCGAAAAUACUAAAUACACGAUAUGCAAGAUAUGAAACAAAGGAACUUAUAUAAAAGUUAAAACCCCGAAGGGCAUAAAUAUUCGAAUAAUUAGAUAAUUACAAGGGUAGAGCCACGCAGGGCAUAAAAACUAUCUAAGGAAGCCCAUCAUCGAAAAUAUCCUCCUGGACUUCGAGUUCAGGGGCCUCCUUCACCUGGGCCUCGUCCCGGGCUUCGUCUUGGGCCUCCCCACCCUUCCCGAGAUCCAUCUCGUCCAAGUUGGAGUCUUGGAUCAUGAGAGUCUCGGUUGGAAUCUCCAAAGUUUGAGAGUCCACAGGGUGCGAAUCCCCGAGAUCCUCGACCGCCAUCGGAGAGGGGGUCUCCUCCCCGGGAAGCU
rnacentral:lncRNA from 1 species